AAGCCAUGGUGAGGGUAUUCUUAGAGUAAAUCCUUGAAUCUCUCCAUAAGUUUGGAAAAAGACUCAUUAGGAUUUUGCCUUUUAAUAGAAGGAUAUCACUUCUAAGCUU